UACGGGGGGGGUAAGCGGUUGUUCGGAAUUACUGGGCGUAAAGGGCUCGUAGGCGGCCAACUAAGUCAGACGUGAAAUCCCUCAGCUUAACUGGGGAACUGCGUCUGAUACUGGAUGGCUUGGAUUCGGGAGAGGAAUGCGGAAUUCCAGGUGUAGCGGUGAAAUGCGUAGAUAUCUGGAGGAACACCGGUGGCGAAGGCGGGUCUCUGGGCCGAUACUGACGCUGAGGAGCGAAAGCGUGGGGAGCGAACAGG
rnacentral:rRNA from 1 species